CAGAAACUCACUGUCACUGUCACUGAAAAAUCCCCACCACCAAUGCACAGUUUAUCUGGAACACUCAAACACAGACAGGUGGAGUGAUACAAACAGUGGUAAGCCCCAGUAUUGAUGGACUGUUCUCUUGGAACAUCACUCUGCAAAUAGAAGUUGUCAUUUUUUGAUCUUCACUAGUGGUCACUAUGAACUCUCAUUCAAUUACAGCAUACAAGUUUGGAAUGACAUGUUGAACGCACACUGUUCCACAUGCUUCCCUGUGUUCGAGCAUCUUUGAAGUCUCUGAAUCUCUUCCCCUUGUGAUAUUACACAGAUGAUUUAAACAGAGAAAUGCAGGAACAGCAUUAACCAGCUGGGGCUAAUGGGGUCAUGUUAGCCAUCCACACCAUGACCCUUUGACCUAAAUGAGAAUCAACAACCCUUAGGAGGCCUGGUAAAAAUGCUUCCCUCUGAAUCAUUAUCUGCUAGUGUAACUGCUGGACAGUGUUGUUGUUGUUUUUUUUUUUAAUGUGUUUACUCACCUUUUGAUCUCAUUUUGUUUUAUUUUUGUACUCUCAAUUAUUUUCUCAUCCACAUAUUUUCUGAUCUCGUGGCUCCUGAGAAAACGCUCCUUGAUGGGAGGAUUCCCAGAAUUUUGUGUUGCCAAACAGGUUUCUGGAUCUUCCUUGGUGCCUCAGACAGUAUAUCUUUGUGAUAGCUCAGCCCCCCUGAAGACAGAACCGGAGAGGGAAUCAAGAAGUAUGUAUCCAGCCCAGAUGGUGGAUCAGCACCUAGAAAGGACCUCUACAGCCCUGAAAGACAGCGGAGACCAGGACUAGAGCCCCAGAGACAGAUCCCCUGUAAAGACCUUGUCUCAGACGACCACCGGGACAAGACCACAGGAAACAGAUGAUUCUUCUGCACAAUCUGACUUUGCUGCAGCCUGGAAUUGAACUGCUGGUUUCGUCUGGUCAGAGGAGAACUGGCCCCCCAACUGAGCCUGGUUUCUCCCAAGGUUUUUUUCUCCAUUCUGUCACUGAUGGAGUUCUGGUUCCUUGCCGCUGUCGCUUCUGGCUUGCUUAGUUGGGGACACUUCAUUUACAGCGAUAUCGUUGACUUGAUUGCAAAUUAUUGCACAGAUACUAUUUAAACUGAGCUGAGCUGCAUGAUGACAUCACUGAAUUCAAUGAUGAACUGCCUUUAACUGUCAUUUUGCAUUAUUGACACACUGUUUUCCUAAUUAAUGUUGUUCAGUUGCUUUGACGCAAUCUUUUUUGUUUAAACCGCUAUAUAAAUAAAGAUGACUUGACUUGACUUGACUUUUAGGCUUCAAAGUUCAUAAAAGUUGUGUUCAUUUGU
ensembl:lncRNA